AUGAGCAUCCAUAUUCCCGCUGCAGUUUGGUCUAUUCAACACGGCUCUUUUUGUGACAGAACUACCCACCACCAAAGGACCAAGCAGCGGAGAAGAGGACAGAGGCAAGUGAGGGAGGAAUGUUGGAGGCAGCCCCAAGAAUUUUUUCGGGGGGGGCACAAGGGCUAUUUGGCGGGGCGAGAUUACAGCCCCAGGCCAGCUCCCCGUACCCUUGUAGGGCAGACUGGACAGGUCCCGUGCUUUGGGGUUGGGGCUGUGGUGAGGCCUGGGAUUUUCAGGCCGGUAGGCAAGGUACCAGCGCCCCGCAUGUGCCAGGGCGAAGUAGGCAUCGAGCCGGAAGGGGUGAUGCCAACCCUGCGCUCAAGACCGCCAGUGCGCCCUUUCGGUCCGGUGUUUCCCGCUAGAUGCACUAGCAUGGAGGUGCGUGUCUCCAGGCCGGCACGUCCAGUACCAGCCCCACGCAUCAGGAGUCUAGUGCGUCAGCCCAGCACCGCCAGUCAACAGUCGUCGGAGCUGCCCGCCAGUCAACAGUCGUCGGAGCUGCCCGCCAGUCAACAGUCGUCGGAGCUGCCCGCCAGUCAACAGUCGUCGGAGCUGCCCGCCAGUCAACAGUCGUCGGAGCUGCCCGCCAGUCAACAGUCGUCGGAGCUGCCCGCCAGUCAACAGUCGUCAGAGCUGCCCGCCAGUCAACAGUCGCCGGAGUGGCCAGACUGCGCUGAACUGCCGGAGUGGCCAGACUGCGCUGAACUGCCGGAGUGGCCAGACUGCGCUGAACUGCCGGAGUGGCCAGACUGCGCUGAACUGCCGGAGUGGCCAGACUGCGCUGAACUGCCGGAGUGGCCAGACUGCGCUGAACUGCCGGAGUGGCCAGACUGUUCCCCGGCCCAGCCCGAGGGGCCCUCCUGUCCCCCGGCCCAGCCCGAGGGGCCCUCCUGUCCCCCGGCCCAGCCCGAGGGGCCCUCCUGUCCCCCGGCCCAGCCCGAGGGGCCCUCCUGUCCCCCGGCCCAGCCCGAGGGGCCCUCCUGUCCCCCGGCCCAGCCCGAGGGGUCCGUCUGCCUGGCGCAGCUAUCGGCUCCACCGAAGUGGGCGACGCCGAGGGUGGAGCAGGGUCCACGUCCUGCACCGGAGCCACCUCCAGGAUAG
rnacentral:lncRNA from 8 species